rnacentral:rRNA from 1 species
GUACGGCCGACAAGGUUAAAACUCAAGGAAUUGACGGGGACCCGCACAAGCGGUGGAUGAUGUUCUUUAAUUCGAUGCAACGCGAAAAACCUUACCCACCUUUGACAUGUAUGGAAUCCUUUAGAGAUGAAGGAGUGCUCGAAAGAGAGCCAUAACACAGGUGCUGCAUGGCUGUCGUCAGCUCGUGUCGUGAGAUGUUGGGUUAAGUCCCGCAACGAGCGCAACCCUUGCCAUUAGUUGCUACGAAAGGGCACUCUAAUGGGACUGCCGGUGACAAACCGGAGGAAGGUGGGGAUGACGUCAAGUCCUCAUGGCCCUUAUAGGUGGGGCUAGAAACGUCAUACAAUGGCCGGUACAAAGGGUAGCCAAGCCGCGAGGUGGAGCCAAUCCCAUAAAGCCGGUCGUAGUCCGGAUCGCAGUCUGCAACUCGACUGCGUGAAGUCGGAAUCGCUAGUAAUCGUGGAUCAGCAUGCCACGGUGAAUACGUUCCCGGGUCUUGUACACACC